GCGGGUUUAGCUCAGUUGUUAGAGCGCGUCCUUGCCAAGGACGAGGCCAGGAGUUAGAGUCUCCUAACCCGCACCA
rnacentral:tRNA from 1 species